rnacentral:rRNA from 1 species
AUUGAACGCUGGCGGCAGGCCUAACACAUGCAAGUCGAAUGGUAACAGGAAACAGCUUGCUGUUUCGCUGACGAGUGGCGGACGGGUGAGUAAUGUCUGGGAAACUGCCUGAUGGAGGGGGAUAACUACUGGAAACGGUAGCUAAUACCGCAUAACGUCGCAAGACCAAAGAGGGGGAACUUCGGGCCUCUUGCCCUCAGAUGUGCCCAGAUGGGAUUAGCUAGUAGGUGGGGUAACGGCUCACCUAGGCGACGAUCCCUAGCUGGUCUGAGAGGAUGACCAGCCACACUGGAACUGAGACACGGUCCAGACUCCUACGGGAGGCAGCAGUGGGGAAUAUUGCACAAUGGGCGCAAGCCUGAUGCAGCCAUGCCGCGUGUAUGAAGAAGGCCUUCGGGUUGUAAAGUACUUUCAGCGGGGAGGAAGGGAGUAAAGUUAAUACCUUUGCUCAUUGACGUUACCCGCAGAAGAAGCACCGGCUAACUCCGUG